rnacentral:rRNA from 1 species
UACAGAGGGGGCAAGCGUUGUUCGGAAUUACUGGGCGUAAAGGGCGCGUAGGCGGCCUUCUAAGUCGAACGUGAAAUCCCCCGGGCUCAACCCGGGAACUGCGUCCGAUACUGGAAGGCUUGAAUCCGGGAGAGGGAUGCGGAAUUCCAGGUGUAGCGGUGAAAUGCGUAGAUAUCUGGAGGAACACCGGGUGGCGAAGGCGGCAUCCUGGACCGGCAUUGACGCUGAGGCGCGAAAGCCAGGGGAGCAAACGGGG